UUUUCGAGGACACAUGUUUUCCAUCCAAUGUGCGUCAGCAAAGAGGGUCAAGUGAGGCGCUCUGCACUCAUAACUAAAAACGCGACAAAUGGGUAUUUAAGAGUUCCCGACUCCGUAACCUUUUUUAUCAGUUUCUUCGAAUCUUUCAUGCAACGAAAAUCUGAUUUGGGUUAUUUAGAGCUGUUACCGGCCAAGCGCAUACAACUCAUAUUUAAAAAUAUUUUAAAUAGGUUUUCACACACAUACGUGCACCUCUUUCUCUUAAACCGGUGGAUAAAGGACGACAUAGAUGACUUCUCGGAACUUUCAUCCCAUUAGAAAGGCAAAAUUUUAUAAAAUAUUAUGAAAAUGAAUUGACAACCAAUUCCUUAAUUUGUAACAUAUCAGAACAUGGGAGUUACCAGAAAAAAGAGGAGUAAGAUGUUGGAUUUACCAAGGGUUAAUUCUAUAACUAUAUAUAAAAGACGAAUUUUUAAGACAAGCACCGUUGUUCACACUACUUUUCUAGUGUUCAAAGCAAUGGCAACAUCUGAAUAGCUUUUUAAUGGGAAAAGAUACAGUUCAAGCAAAGAAAUGGUUUGCCAAGUGUUCUUUGGCCACUACUUCAUGGUGGCGAAUGGUAAAGAAGUAGUUUGCUGAUUUUAAACGCGGGCAUACACAGUCAUGCAAUAAGGCGGUGAUUGCGGGAAUUCGGCAUUUGUUCCAGGAAACGUAAAAGAAAGUCCUAAAAAUGCUUUUGGCAAAACGGAAAACGAAUUUGCGUAAGAUAUCCGACAGCUUAAUGAUAUCAGACAGCAGCACAUUUACUAUUUUGCAUGAACUUGCGUACACGAGGAAGCGUUUGGUCGCUUUUGACCAGAAACAAUGUAUUGGAGCUAUUUAGGCGAUUUCUAAACGAUAUGUGACAGUAGAUCAAAUACGCAUUUACUUCUUUACUUCAAAUCAAUAGCCAACCUAGUGCUCUGCAACGGGGCAAAGACAUUCAAAGCUGCGAAAUACGCCAAAAACGAGUUUAGAAGGCUCAUGGCACAGAAGUCUUCGGAUGUGCAUAUGCGUAACAUUCGUGGAGUGUCUUGAAAAGGUGAAAAGGAGGAUUGAGGAUUGCGUAGCAUUAUCAGUGCGUUUGAAUGACGAAAUUUCAAAAAGAAAAAGGACCUAAUCCUACGACAUUAUUGACUGAUGCACUAUAGUGGUUGGUGUAUAGACAUAAUUAGAAAACAUCUCGCACCCAUCUCGCAGAGCGCGGAGAUCUAAAUGCGAAACAAACUUUGCCAAUGGAUGAAUAGUUAUGAUGUCUGCACAUUAAUUGAAACAUUGAACAUUUUUCUCAAUAAUUUUAAAACAUCCUAUGCUUGCAAACGAGACAUUUUUACGUUUUAUAUUAACAUUUCUUUUUUUUAGAAUCCAAGGAAACUCUCUUAAUAUCAUCCGAGUUAGCUACGCUUUGCAAAUAAGCAAUAACUUUAGUUCAAGCUUUGAAAUAUUUG